AGCGAACGCUGGCGGCAGGCCUAACACAUGCAAGUCGAACGAACUCUUCGGAGUUAGUGGCGGACGGGUGAGUAACACGUGGGAACGUGCCUUUAGGUUCGGAAUAACUCAGGGAAACUUGUGCUAUACCGAAUGUGCCCUUCGGGGGAAAGAUUUAUCGCCUUUAGAGCGGCUCGCGUCUGAUUAGCUAGUUGGUGAGGUAAAGGCUCACCAAGGCGACGAUCAGUAGCUGGUCUGAGAGGAUGAUCAGCCACAUUGGGACUGAGACACGGCCCAAACUCCUACGGGAGGCAGCAGUGGGGAAUCUUGCGCAAUGGGCGAAAGCCUGACGCAGCCAUGCCGCGUGAAUGAUGAAGGUCUUAGGAUUGUAAAAUUCUUUCACCGGGGACGAUAAUGACGGUACCCGGAGAAGAAGCCCCGGCUAACUUCGUGCCAGCCGCCGCGGUAA
rnacentral:rRNA from 1 species